rnacentral:rRNA from 1 species
AACGAACGCUGGCGGCAGGCUUAACACAUGCAAGUCGAACGCACCUUUCGGGGUGAGUGGCAGACGGGUGAGUAACGCGUGGGAAUCUACCCUUCUCUACGGGAUAGCUCCGGGAAACUGGAAUUAAUACCGUAUACGUCCUGAGGGCGAAAGAUUUAUCGGGGAAGGAUGAGCCCGCGUUGGAUUAGCUAGUUGGUGGGGUAAAGGCCUACCAAGGCGACGAUCCAUAGCUGGUCUAAGAGGAUGAUCAGCCACAUUGGGACUGAGACACGGCCCAAACUCCUACGGGAGGCAGCAGUGGGGAAUAUUGGACAAUGGGCGCAAGCCUGAUCCAGCCAUGCCGCGUGAGUGAUGAAGGCCCUAGGGUUGUAAAGCGCUUUCAGGGGGGACGAUAAUGACGGUACCCACAGAAGAAGCCCCGGCUAACUUCGUG